UUUAAGCUAAAUUUUAGUGAAUUUAUUGCUGUGUUGGCAUAAGUAGUACCAUGAAAAAUUUGAAUCUAUAGUACGACCCAUGCCGACUCAGUAAUAAAUUACAAUUCCAGCAAGUG